ACAUACACACAGUGGAGGGCUGCCGGGGUUGGGGUAGGGAGAAUGCUUUACCACCACCACCACCGUAAUAAUAAAAAAUAUUAUCAAAGCAAAACAGAUAAUGAGGUGGAUGGCCAAUACAGCUCUAGCAGGAAGAGUCAAACUCCAAGCCCUUCUAUGUUUGAUCAGUGGGGCAGCAGGAUAGGAGGCUUGGGAUGGCAUUCCCUUACCCAUAGAAUUGUUUUUAAACUGCCUAUGCUUUCAUAUUACUCAAUAUAAGAAUGGUAUCCCCCCUUUUAGCAGGGGUGAGGUUGCCCCAGCCCGACUUGGAAGAGAUUUGAUUUGGUUUCUCCCAGAGGAGGAGGAAUUGGAGUCCCAUGGACAGGGGUGGCCAAUCAGAAGGGGACUGAACUGCCUCUCGGUUGGUGAUGUUGGGCCAGUGACCACCUCUCAAUCCAACCUACCUCAUCCUAACAAAAACACCUUAAAGAAAAAGAGGUUGUUUCCUGGCCUCACUUUGCUGACCUAUGACCGGCGCUGACCUUUAGCUAGAGAAUGUGACAUUUUGUUCUCCUCUGGCGGAUGUGUGAGGCUCUCAUUAUUCAAAGCAAAUGCCAUGGAACCUGACAGGAAGGAACAGGUGGGCAAUUGGCUUCAUAGGAUCAGACGACUGCAAUGAAAUGAAAAGCAAGCAUAUCCAAAGGAUGGUCCCAACCUAAGAUAUGGUAUCUGCCGGCUUCCAACAAAUUAACCUCACAAAAGAGACAAGAUCACAGCAGGAGCAAGAAAGGUGCGACUCUCCAAGAUGAGUCAAACAUGGAAACCUUUCUCAGUUCAAAGGUCAUAUCUCCUCAGCUUACUACACUUUUGAGUGACAACUGAUCCAUGGUUAUUUGGUGUACCUUGUGGACAUUGACUUGCUGAUGAAGAAUAUUUAUUGAAAGAGUCUAUUAUUCCGGAAGGACUAUUCUGUUGCUGUGUUUGGAGCACCUACCAUCAUUCUUCUGUGUUGCUGUGUUGCUGUGGAGCACCAUCUCGCUCCCCCUCACUUUUGGCAAUAUUCUGUAUUAACUUUGGAAGGCGUUUAGCCUCAAAAUUCAGUGAUUCUUUGCGGUCAAAUACUAAUCUGAUCAUUUCCUUUCAUGGAAUAUCUACUUCACUCUUAUUAGUUCGUGACUCCAUGUACAUAUUGUAUGUUUUCUGAUUGUGAAUUAAGAAACAGUUCGAUAGUGUUAUAUAAAUAUUGUUAGUAUACUACAGUCAUACCUCGGGUUGUAUGUGCUUUGGGAUGAGCGUGUUCGAAUUGCGCUCCGCGGCAACCUGGAAGUAAUGGAGCACAUUACUUCCAGGUUUCGCCACUUGCGCAUGCACAGACGCUCAAAAUGACGUCACAUGCAUGCGCAGAAGCGGCGAAAAGCGAAGCACGCAUGCGCAUAUGUAGCUGGUUAUGUUUGCUGCUAGAUGCGAACGGGGCUCUGGAACAGAUCCCGUUCGCAUCUAGAGGUACCACUGUAUUAGCCUACAUGUUGCUUUAUGUUUCUGUGGUGAUGGACAGGGCCAAAGGUAAAAGGGGGCAUGGGGCUCCAUGUGCCUCUUUCUUUUGUACAUUAGGCCACCUUUCAGCCACACAAACCAGAAAUUUCUACACACACCCUCACCCCAAUUAGGCAAAAGUCACUUUCACAAUUCAAAGACAAGUUCUAGCCAGGCAAAAGGGAGGAGGGUUUGGCUAUCCUAACCAUAUUUACUCACUGAUUUUAAUAUGAUGAGCUUUCAAGUAACUGUGCUUAUGUGUGCAGCAUUAAUGCUUAACAUGCAUUAAUACUCAAAACCUUAGGCAUAACAAGCAAAAAUAAAAUUAUCUGGAAGCUUCUCCUUUGUGGGGUCUUGUUUAUUUCAGGACUCAAGCUGAAAAAUAGCCCAGAUAAACAAAUCAACUAACUUAAAGAAACCAUGGGACUGCAGUGUACAUUUAUUGUCACCAGUUCCGUCCCCCAAAUGUGUAGUGGCAUUUUAAAUUUUAAUAGGCCACAUCUUCUUGGCCAGAAAAUGCAGACAAAUGUAUGAAAGGUAUGAAAAUAGUUACGUCAAUUGUUGCAUUGAUUUAUAACAUUUUAAUCUAGACUUUUCAUAAAAAAGAUAUUCAAGGCAGCCAGUGAUAUGUAUAAAUAAGUUAAAUGACAGUCAAACCAAAGGCUACAACAACAAUUCAAAAGCAGUAUAAAUACAGUAGCAGUUAAAAUCCAUUUUAAAAGAUGGCACUUAACUGCCUGCUGAAAGGUAAGCUGUCCUGGGGACCUUUGGCAGAUACAUCUGUUUAUUUAAAUUGUUGAUACUUCCAGUGAACGUUUCUCCUUGAAGUCAAAGUCAUGGAGGAAGCUGUUGAGGACAAACUUUGGUUAGAUUUGGAGCAGGACACAGGUG